AGACGGAGGGUGCAAGCGUUAUCCGGAAUCAUUGGGUUUAAAGGGUCCGUAGGCGGACUAAUAAGUCAGGGGUGAAAUCCCACAGCUUAACUGUGGAACUGCCUUUGAUACUGUUAGUCUUGAGUUAUAUGGAAGUAGAUAGAAUGUGUAGUGUAGCAGUGAAAUGCUUAGAGAUUACACAGAAUACCGAUUGCGAAGGCAGUCUACUACAUAUAUACUGACGCUAAUGGACGAAAGCGUGGGGAGCGAACAGGAUUAGAAACCCUAGUAGUCC
rnacentral:rRNA from 1 species